UAGCCUGCUGUGUGACCUUGGCGUCUCUGUGCCAAAAGGUGAAGAUGUGGAACUUCCUGCUGUGCUCCCUGGAUGAGAGCUCUGCUGAGAUUCACAGUCCUCCACCAGUCUGACAUCCCUUGCCUCCUACAGAGAGCAGAGUGGCACAAAUCUACUUGAUUUCCAGGGGAACAGGGUUGGUCCCAGCUUUAAAAAGAGAUGGCU
rnacentral:lncRNA from 1 species